AAACCCUUCUUCCCCUUUCAUUGUUUGCAAGCUUAUACCAACUAGUUAUUAAUUUGGUCUAAUUUUUUUUUAAGAGGAAUAUUCAUCUUUACUGUGAACUUCCCCCCCCUCCCCCCGGGCUCAUUAUGUUAAACAUUGCACUUAACCUACACUUUAGGGGGGGAAAUGUAGUUGGUUUAAACUGUCAGAGUGACUCAUAUAAUGGAAUAUGGGCUAACUGGAAGAAAAUAUUUAACUAAAAACAAAUAUCCCAGGGUUCACUCCACCUCAUUCCCAGCAGCAAAUUUGGGUUGUGUUUGUGCCUCCUGUCCUCUCCCAGGGGAAGAGCCUGAGGAGGGACCCAAGGAAAAGAAGAGGUUGGCUUGUUGCAAAUUGCUGCCAGGAAACUGUCAGUCUUCUAACCUAACACCAGUUCUUAUCAGAGAAACCCUGGAAAGGAUGACACUGACUCCUAUAAACCUAUGGCUGAUUCAUGCUGAUGUUUGGUAGAAGCCAAUGCAAUAUAGUAAAGCAAUCAUCCUUCAAUCAAAACUCAUUGGAAAAGACCCUGAUGCUGGGAAAGAUUGAAGGCAGAAGGAGAAGGGGACGACAGAGGAUAAGAUGGUUGGAUGGCAUCACUGACUCAAUGGACAUGGGUUUGGGCAAGCUCCGGGAGUUAGUGAUGCACAGGGAAGCCUGGCAUCCUGCAGUCCAUGGGGUCACAAAAAGUCAGACACAACUGAGUGAGUGAACUAAUUAAAAUACAAAAGAAAAAAAAAAGGAAAACAAUGUACAGCAGAAAGUAACACAACAUUGUAAAGCAAUUAUACUCCAAUAAGAAAAGAAAAUCUUUCUCUGAAAUUAAAAAAAUAAUAAACUGAUUCCUCAUUGCAACGUGACAUGCAAGCAAAAGGUCAAGGGAUGAAAAAGAAGCUGAUAUAUUUUACUCAAUCAAGUUGCUUACAGUGUAAUGGGACUCUGACAGAGAAUAACAAAUGCUAUAGAAGGAUAUGCAUGUAAUUACUUUAUUCUUAAAAUAAAUUUACUAGGUGCCUACAUUUCCCAGGACAGAAGCAUGGCCGUGUCCCGUGGAGUCGGAGUUGUCAGCAGAGUGAUUUUGAAUGAGUAGGUGUUAGUGUUUAUACUUGAUAUAUUACAAUAAGAAAAGCAUCAUAAGAUGAGAAAGAAAAGAGACAAAAUCAUUUUAACAGCUUUAAAUGUUUACCACAAUGAGAGAAACUGUAUUGUGAAAGAUUUAAAUGUAUUAUGAAUGUUAUUGGUUUCAUACAUUGGCUUAGUUUUCUUUGAAGAGAAGAACUCAUCACAUCUGCAUUAAUAAUAUUGGAAAUUGUUACCCUCCAUGAACUUUUAUAUUAUAGAAAACAUUUUGGAAGUAAGUUAAUAUAAUGAGAGCAAUUUGCAGCUGGUUAAUUAUUCAAUAAAUCUAAUCAACAAAUGUUUUUUGCAACCCAGUGUGUGUGUGUGUGUGUGUGUGUGUGUGUGUGUGUAUGUAUGCUGAUGCAGAAACUGAGUGAAAGUGUGAAGUGAGCCCUGAUCACAAUAAGAACCAAGUGUUGAUGAACAUUCUGGAGAAGGCAUGGCAACCCACUCCAGUAUUCUUGCCUGAAGAAUCCCCAUGGACAAGGAAGCCUGGCGGGCUACAGUGCGCAGGUUCUCAGCAUCAAACAUGACUGAGUGACUAAGCACAGCAUAUAUAUAUAUAUGGUGGCUUCCCCGGUGGCUGUCAGUAAAGAAUCUGCCUUCAGUUCAGGAGAUCCAGGUUCGAUUCCUGAGUCAGGAAGAUUCCCUUCAGGAUUAAAUGGCAACCCACUCCAGCAUCUUUGUUGAGAAAAUCCCAUGGACAGAGGAUCCUGGUGGGCUAUAGCCUAUGGGGUUGCAAAGAGUCAGACAUGACUCAGCAUGCAUACAUGCAUAACUAGCAUGAGGCAACUUUGGUAACACAUUCUAUCACCUGUGUGAGCUAAGAAAUAUAACUCACAGCCAAUGCCACCUCAAAUUCUCAUUAUGAGAGGGAAUAAAGUCUUACUUACGGUCCUCAUAUCUUUGACCCGUGAUUUCUUUGCUUUGCCAAGAGUGAUAUGAAGUGGUAUCUGAGUCCUAGGGAAAGCCUCAACCCUCAUCCUCAAAAACUCCCACCCCCGAUCCUGUGUGCAGUCAACUCUUUGACCUCACCUUAGCUGCCAUGACCUUCAAGUAAAAGGAAAUAAGAAGAUGAAGAAACCUUCCAACACUGGCUUCAUGUUUUGCUGACACAACAAGGUGCCCUGGUGAAAUGAAAGGAACAAGAAUAAUGUCUGCAGGAGAAUAGGAUGUGGAAAUUGUGUUUGAACCUGGGCUGAGAAGGUGAAGGUAAAGACGACACUCUUGUAAAAUCUGGUAGGGACCUCACAAGCUCCCCCAGACUUAUCCUAAUGAAAUCAAGGAGGGUCUAGAGAUGGAUAUAUAUUUUUGAAAGAAAUGAAUAUAUUUUAAAAACUGCUCCAAAGUUGCUCUCCCAAGCAAAUUCAGACAAUGAGUCAUUUUAUGCUUGGUCUCCUCCCAAAUUUCAAUGAUCAACUUAACCAUUAAUUGAAUGAUUAAUGGUUUAGUCAUUUAAAUUUAUAUCAUUAAAUCAUGUGGUUUCUGAAAACUGACACUGACCUUCAUUGUGUCUGCCCUAAGUGACUGCCACUUACUUGGUUUAUUUCUAGCAGGUGCUUUUUCUUAUACCUUUGGGGACAGCUCAGUUCAGUUUAGUUCAGUUCGGUUGUUCAGUCAUGUCUCUUUGGGACCCCAUGAAUCGCAGCAUGCCAGGCCUCCCUGUCCAUCACUAAAUCCUGGAGUUCACUCAGACUCACGUCCAUUGAGUCAGUGAUGCCAUCCAGCCAUCUCAUCCUCUGUCGUCCCCCUUCUCCUCCUGCCCCCAAUCCCUCUCAGCAUCAGAGUCUCUUCCAAUGAGUCAACUCUUCGCAUGAGGUGGCCAAAAUACUGGAGUUUCAGCUUUAGCAUCAUUCCUUCCAAAGAACACACAGAGCUGAUCUCCUUCAGAAUGGACUGAUUGGAUCUCCUUGCAGUCCAAGGGACUCUCAAGAGUCUUCUCCAACACAGCCUUCUUCACAGUCCAACUCUCACAUCCAUACAUGACCACAGGAAGAAAGGUAAUUCAAGGAACAUCAAUAAAUUGUAAGAUUAUUACAUUUCUGGGAUUCCCAAGUAGCUCAGUGGUAAAGAAUCUGCCUGCCAGUGCAGGAGACCCAAAGAAAGACAAUGCCAAAGAAUGCUCAAACUACCGUACAAUUGCACUCAUCUCACACACUAGCAAAGUAAUGCUCAAAAUUCUCCAAGCCUGUCUUCAACAGUAAGUGAAGUAUGAAAUUCUGGAUGUUCAAGCUGGAUUUAGAAAAGGUAGAGGAACCGGAGAUCAAAUUGCCAACAUCCGUUGGAUCAUAAAAAAGCAAGAGAGUUCCAGAAAAACAUCUAUGUCUGCUUUAUUAACUGCACCAAAGCUUGUGCGGAUCACAAAAAAACUGUGGAAUAUUCUUAAAGAGAAGGAAUACCAGACCACCCGACCUGCAUCCUGAGAAACCUGUAUGUAGGUCAAGAAGCAACAGUUAGAACUGGACACAGAACAACAGACUGGUUCCAAAUAGGAAAAGGAGUAC
ensembl:lincRNA